AUCAAGAGUGGGUCAGCAUGGGGAGGGCGCUGCGUUCCUCCUCUGUGCAUCAGAAACUGAGGACGACAAGGGGCACUGAAGAUGCUUUGGCUGCAAAUGCUUCCCUUUGUGGCCCCAUGACAGCUGUCACUCUCCCGAGGAUGAAAGACGGCUGACAAUGGCAAUGGGAGCUACUGGCUUCCACGUGAAUGUCCAGCAGGAGAGAGCAAGAGAGGACUUCUCUCCCAGCCCCAGACUGUGAGUAAAUCAAGAUUCAGAUAUGCAGAGGGAGAGGGUAGAGCUGGGACCGCCGACCCAGGUGCUCAGACUCCGAGCAUCGCACACCAAGAUGCUGUAAAAUGCACCCAAUCCAACGUGAAGGUUCAGCCAAUGGCAGGCUGUGGCAAGAGACCAGCAAGAGAGGAGUGAAGGGUCAAAGCAUUUGGUCCCCCUGCUCCUCCCUGUGGGGCUGCCAUGCUGGUAGCUGCUACAUUCUGAGGUUGCGGCUCCAAGGACCAACCUGGCCCCGGAAUGAACGCACCGUUGCUGUCUCCGGAUACUGCAGGUCUAGGCAGCCCCGCACCGUGAGUGGUCCUGUUGCCUGCUGGGAUCCUAGCCAGGACAGAGCUGGAUGCUUCCCCCACCUUGCUGCCUUGCUCCCCGUGUCUGUUGGGAUGCCCCCCAGCACCCCAUCCACACCUGCCUGAGACAGGGCAGUGACUUGGCAAAGUCUGCUUUGCCCUGGGCAUCCUGAAUAGUUUGGGGGCUGGCGCUGCUGUGAAGACAAUGAGAAGAAAGUUUCCAAAGACUGGGACCAGGUUCCUCCCCUUCUUCCAUCUCCUGGGACAGGCUAGAUCUGCUGGGCUCAGGGCCUGGGAGAAGCACAGCACUCUGCUUGGAAUGGUGGGAGAGGGGUAAGUCUUGGCAGAGUAGCAAUCUGGACCCAGGCUUGUCUGCUUCCACCCCCGAGCUGGAGGUUAAGAAGGUACCAGAGAUGGGGGUGAGAAGCAGCAGAGGCUCUUCCUGCUGAGCUGUAGGACCCUUAGAGGUCACCUACAGCAACCCUUUGGUUCAGCAGCCGAAACAGGCCCAGGAGUGAGGGGCAUGGCCGAGGUCACUAGGUAGGUGCCCCUCAAGUCUGCUUCAAGCCCAGUGUCGUCCCCUGAGCACCACACACAGAAUUGCACGUGCCCCAGAGACCUUUGUAAACCACGAGA